UACAGAGGGUGCAAGCGUUAAUCGGAAUUACUGGGCGUAAAGCGUGCGCAGGCGGUUUUGUAAGUCUGAUGUGAAAUCCCCGGGCUCAACCUGGGAAUUGCGAUGGAGACUGCAAGGCUAGAAUCUGGCAGAGGGGGGUAGAAUUCCACGUGUAGCAGUGAAAUGCGUAGAGAUGUGGAGGAACACCGAUGGCGAAGGCAGCCCCCUGGGUCAAGAUUGACGCUCAUGCACGAAAGCGUGGGGAGCAAACAGG
rnacentral:rRNA from 1 species